UCUUUCCUUGUCUUGGGGUGAGAGAGCUGUUCAAUGAACGCAUAGUGAGAACAGCCCUGCUGACACCAUAACAACACAUAAGCACCACCUAGACUCCUGUCUAGAACAUGGUGCAAUUUUUGGAAAC